GUUGUGUUUCCUUAACUUUUGUUGUUAACGUUGUGUUGCACUUUAAAACAAUAAGAACAAAAACACGAAAGGGUACUAGCAUCUCCCUUUUUUCAAUAUUGUAUAUCCUCCUUCAUUAAUUGAAAUGUUAUUUGGAAUCUUAAAUGUUUUUAAAUGUAGCCUAAAAUUUUAUUUUAACUUGUAAGAAUGUUUUUCCACUACGUAAAACUCCGAUGCAUAACUGCCAAGUGAGUACCUUUUAAUCCCUUUAUCUUUAGUUUUAAGGUCCUUAUUCCUGUAAAAAGCAGAUAUAGCUCACUUUUAGUUAGCACUGAUGAUAGCUCAUAUGCCCAAAGUACUGUACUAAGCCUAAGAAGAAAAAAUAUGCAUCGAUCUGUAUUUAAAAUGUUUUUAUGACUUGAAUAUUUACUAUUGAAGACCUCUAGUAACCUCGAUGUGCAACAAAUACCUUAAGCAGCUUAAGCCUAUCGAUUCCGCUGUCACGUCAAAUACAAGAGCUGCAUGUAAGAAGAAAUGUAAAAAUUUAGGAUCUGCCUAUAUCCAUGAUUUAAGGCAAAAACCACCACGUGCUGAUGAUCAUCAGCACAAACAAAGAAAAAAUAUUAUUUACCGGACUAUUUGGACUUUCUCCUGCCGUUCACUUAAUCUAGGUAACAAAAGGGUAGCAUUCCAUCUCCCAAAAAUAUAUGUGAAGAAACAAAUAAUAUUUCGAUUCAAGAAGAAUCUUCAUGCAUUCGAAGAAUCCUUUACAAAUGAACCUUUAUUAGUCACUGAAAGCGCAUUAACUUGCAAUAAAAGUUCUGCAAAAAAGCGCAAAGAAGUGGACCCUCUAUAGAGAAAUGUGCCAUUGAUUAUUUUACAUCGAAAAGCCGAGGCCAAGCGGAAAAACCGGAAGAUGCUGACUUGCUAUUUCUUAAAAGUCUUCUGCCCGGUUUACAACGAAUGACAAACGCCCAAAAACACGAAUUUAAAUAUAAAGCAAUGCAAGUUAUUGGUGAAAUACUUUAUGCAAACCACCACCAAAUAAUUUUACCCCAUCACUUUCAACAAAUUCUCAACAGAUGUGUUAUAAUUCAAGCACAGUAACUUUCACCCAUUUUCAAACAGUUCUCAAGCGCAAACUACGUACUCUUCAAGCCAAAUAAGCACACCUAUGACAUCUCCAAAUACCGAUUAUGACUAUUUAAAGUUGAAGUACAUAAUAAAUACUACACAAUUGAA